AAGGGCCAGUCGGCGGGAGGCUGCCGGAACAACAGCGGCUUCCCCAGCAACCCCAAAUUCUGGCUGCGGGUCUCAGAACCCAGCGAGGUGUGCGCAGCCGUCCUGCAGAGGCCCAGGGUGCGCACGGCCGACUGGGCUGGCCGGGCCCGGGCCCCGACGGGGAACGACCGCACUGCGUGGAGCCCGGCGGGCGCCCCGGGCAAGGACUACCCUGCCGUGGGCCUGCAUCUCUGGAAGGUGGAGAAACGGCGGGUCAGCCUGCCCCGCGUCCUGUCCACACCCCCCGUGGCUGGAACUGUGUGCCAUGCGUAUGACCGCGAGGUCCAUCUCCGCUGUGAGCUCGCCCCUGGGUAUUACCUGGCCGUCCCCAGCACCUUCCUGAAGGACGUGCCGGGGCAGUUUCUGCUCCGGGUCUUCUCCAGCGGGGGCGUCUCCCUCAGUGCCAUCAAGCCAGUGACCGAGGGCCCUGACCCCGAGGAGGCCCUGUCCGAGGGCGAGUGGGAGACGGUGCAGCUGCGGGGCUCCUGGAGGGCCGGCCAGACGGCGGGGGGCAGCAGGAACUUCGCGUCCUACCCCACCAACCCCUGCUUCCC